UACGUAGGGUGCAAGCGUUAAUCGGAAUUACUGGGCGUAAAGCGUGCGCAGGCGGUUUUGUAAGACUGUCGUGAAAGCCCCGGGCUCAACCUGGGAAUUGCAUUCGAGACUGAAUAGCUAGGGUACGGUAGAGGGAAGUGGAAUUUCCGGUGUAGCGGUGAAAUGCGUAGAUAUCGGAAGGAACAUCAGUGGCGAAAGCGACUUCCUGGACCAGUACCGACGUUCAGGCACGAAAGCGUGGGGAGCAAACAGG
rnacentral:rRNA from 1 species